UACGAAGGGGGCUAGCGUUGCUCGGAAUCACUGGGCGUAAAGGGUGCGUAGGCGGGUCUUUAAGUCAGGGGUGAAAUCCCGGAGCUCAACUCCAGAACUGCCUUUGAUACUGGCGGUCUCGAGUCCGGGAGAGGUGAGUGGAACUGCGAGUGUAGAGGUGAAAUUCGUAGAUAUUCGCAAGAACACCAGUGGCGAAGGCGGCUCACUGGCCCGGUACUGACGCUGAGGUGCGAAAGCGUGGGGAGCAAACAGG
rnacentral:rRNA from 1 species